UGUCGGUUCUCCCGCAACGCUACUCUGUUUACCAGGUCAGGUCCGGAAGGAAGCAGCCAAGGCAGAUGACGCGUGUGCCGGGAUGUAGCUGGCAGGG
rnacentral:SRP_RNA from 6 species